UACGUAGGGUGCAAGCGUUAAUCGGAAUUACUGGGCGUAAAGCGUGCGCAGGCGGUUAUAUAAGACAGAUGUGAAAUCCCCGGGCUCAACCUGGGAACUGCAUUUGUGACUGUAUAGCUAGAGUACGGUAGAGGGGGAUGGAAUUCCGCGUGUAGCAGUGAAAUGCGUAGAUAUGCGGAGGAACACCGAUGGCGAAGGCAAUCCCCUGGACCUGUACUGACGCUCAUGCACGAAAGCGUGUGGAGCAAACAGG
rnacentral:rRNA from 1 species